rnacentral:lncRNA from 1 species
UGUGUUAAUGUUUCUGAGACUUGUUAAUUUAAGUGAAUAUAUAAGCUGUCAACUUCAAAGAGAUUGUGGAUUUUUAGAUUAGGAAGCUUGAAUUUUACUACUACUACUACUAGUGCUUUAUUUUUUGUGGUGGAUUUUUCGGGAAAAUGAUUCUGAAACCACCAAUAAUACCUACCAAACAAAAAAACUUUUUGUUAGAAGAACGUGAAAAGCGUGAAAAAGAGAGUUAGAGAAACGUGUGUGUCUGUCUGUGUCUGAUGAUGUGAUUGAACUUAAUUAAUAAUUAAUUGAAUAGCUUAAAUAUGUAGUAUGUAUAGCGUGGAGUGUAUAGUAGUAUAUGCUUUUUGGAUAAGCUAUUAUUCUAACGUCUGUUUGUUUUGAAAGCG